CAUAAAUGUAGCCUUUUCUCAUAAAUAAUGUAACAGCUAAAAAUUGUUCCCACAAAUAUCUAGGGGCACAGUUGUUAACUAUUGCAAAAGAAAUAUCAUAAUAACAGUCCGCAACUGUUCCCUUUUCAGUUUAAGGGAACAAUUAUUUAGCGUUUCCUAUAAAGAACUGGCAACAGUCAUAAUGUGUUGACUAAGCCACUUUUAGGUAACAAUUUUUACAUGUUGCAUAAAACAUUGUUGCCAAAGACAACAAUUGUUGUAGUG
rnacentral:lncRNA from 1 species